GCUUUACAAUUUCCCUUCUAUCCCUGAUCUCCUUCAUCUCUCUCCGUAGCUACCUCUUCAAUCUCCACCGUCGCUUCCUCUUCAACCUCCACUAUCGCUUCCUCUUCAACCUUUCACCAUCCCUUGUUCUAGGCUACAUUCACCUUAGAUCUCUGAUCUCAGAUAUCAGAUCUCAACCUUUCAACCUUUCAUCCUCCCUUCUUUCGGAUCUCAGAUCUUCCGUCGACGCUGCUCAUUGCCACUAGUUACUACACUCCUUCACGCCGCCGAGCUUGUUGUUGCCGCCGACGGCUCUUUCUCGCCAUUGCUACUCAGCUUCUUUGAGAAGGAAACACCACUAGGUUUGACCACACGAUCUGCUCACCUAGUGUUCAACAUUGAAUGAAGAAAAAAUAUUUGAAGUUCAGGACAGCUUAUCACUAUUUCCUUUAGGCUGGAUACAUGU